GAAAGUCUGAUCUCUCUCUCUCUCUCUCUCUCUCUCUCUCUCUCUCUCUCUCUCACACACACACACACACACAGAGAGAGAGAGAGAGAGAGAGAGAGAGAGAGAGAGGAAUGACAAAUUUU
rnacentral:miRNA from 1 species